rnacentral:rRNA from 1 species
CUCGUAGGUGGUUCGUCACGUCGGAUGUGAAACUCUGGGGCUUAACCCCCAGACCUGCAUUCGAUACGGGCGAGCUUGAGUAUGGUAGGGGAGUCUGGAAUUCCUGGUGUAGCGGUGGAAUGCGCAGAUAUCAGGAGGAACACCAAUGGCGAAGGCAGGACUCUGGGCCAUUACUGACACUGAGGAGCGAAAGCGUGGGGAGCGAACA